ACUAGAGUAGCACUCGCAUAUCAAUAAGCGGAGGAAAAGAAACUAACAAGGAUUCCCCUAGUAACGGCGAGUGAAGCGGGAAGAGCUCAAAUUUGAAAUCUUAAAGGGUUUCCCUUUACGAAUUGUAGUUUAAAGAAGUGUUUUCUGUUGAGGUUUUGGUAAAAGUUCUUUGGAAUAGGACAUCAUAGAGGGUGAGAAUCCCGUAUUUGACCUCUACUUUCAACUUUGUGAUACACUUUCAAAGAGUCGGAUUGUUUGGGAAUGCAGUCCAAAAUGGGUGGUAAAUUUCAUCUAAAGCUAAAUAUUGGCGAGAGACCGAUAGCGAACAAGUACCGUGAGGGAAAGAUGAAAAGAACUUUGAAAAGAGAGUUAAACAGUACGUGAAAUUGUCAAAAGGGAAGCGUUUGACACCAGUGUUGUUUUUCUGAAAAUCAAUUAAAGAACUGUUUAUGCUAAGCUGUUUAGACUUUAUCAGCUAUCUGUUUAGUUUUAGGCUUUUCUUUAAUGCACUUUUCAGUUAACAAGUCAACAUCAAUUUCUUUUGCUGUAAAAAAGCUUGAGGAAGGUGGCUUGAGAUUCGUCUUAAGUGUUUAUAGCCUCUUGCCUAUGCAGUCGGAGAGAUUGAGGUCUGCAGCGUAGAUCCUUCGGGGCUAAAUGCAUUUGUGCUAAGUUAUAGCAUUUUAUAGACAACUUGUUGACUAUGAUUUGUCUUGUAGCUUACUCGCUUAUGUUAUUUUACCUACGCUUAGGAUGUUGAUCUACAGAGCGAGAGU
rnacentral:rRNA from 1 species